GACGGAGGGUGCAAGCGUUGUUCGGAAUUACUGGGCGUAAAGGGCGCGUAGGCGGUCUGUUAAGUUCGGUGUGAAAGCCCCCGGCUUACCCGGGGAACUGCGCCGGAAACCGACAGACUCGAGUACCGGAGAGGAGGGUGGAAUUCCUGGUGUAGCGGUGAAAUGCGUAGAUAUCAGGAGGAACACCGGUGGCGAAGGCGGGUCUCUGGGCCGAUACUGACGCUGAGGAGCGAAAGCGUGGGGAGCGAACAGG
rnacentral:rRNA from 1 species